rnacentral:lncRNA from 1 species
AAUCCAAAAAUUGCUGGCAUUGGUUUUUGUGGUCAAUGGUGUUAAGAGAUUUGGUAUAUCCUUCAGGCUGGUACUGUCCAGAUUUUCCUUCUUGCUCAUGAGCAAUUCAAGCUGCAAGUUAGAUUGAUGAAGGCUUCUUCCCUGCAUGGGAUUGUGAGACCACCCAAUGGAUGAUCAAACCCGAAUUCUUCUUCAGCCUGACUUAGCAAGCUUUGGAAUGAAGGGUGCUUCAAGUAUGAAAUUGGAAUCACAAAUCUCUUCUUCUGAGUUUCUCCAACAUAGACAGGAACAUAGCCUUUGGGCACACUUGUGGACUCUGGAGAUGGAAGGAUGCGUCUCAGGAUCUGCUUGGCAGGAAUAAUCCUCUGAAAACGGAUGGCCAUGAGUUUCAAACUUAGUUCUUUGAACGAAAGUGAUGAUGAAAAAUGGAUUCUAAGAGUUUAGAAAACAAGAAAGCUUUGGGACUUGAUGGAUAUGCCCUUAGAAGAGGUAUAUUUAUAGAGUAAUGCUAUAUGGUCGGUAUUCUCCAAUGGAAUGAAUGGUGAAGAGGCUACAGCAAUGGGGUCCCUUGAAGAGGAUAUAUCACAUGGCUUUGCCUCCCAACUAAUAAUAAGAUUUUGACAGCAUUCAUACUGAUAUACAUUUGUUGCUUCAUCAUUGCCUACCUCUUAGCAAAACAAUCAACAGAGCCCCACUCCACUUGAAAUUAUUUUGUAUUGCAUCCAGCUGAUAUAACUAGCUGUGUUAUAACUUAAGACUACUGCAUAUCAGAACAGCCAAGUUAUCUUUUGAUGUCAUGAUCUUUCUUGUUGCCACACAGGUGGGGUAUUUGUGCUGAGGGUGACCUUUCAUCUUGAAUUUGUUGGGAUGAAAGAUAGAAUGGAAGCAUUGAACCAGCAGAGCAUAUGUUAUUGUUCCAUGAUCUGAUGUCUAGACUCAAACCGACCAGAUUCACCAAACCCUAGCUAAGCAUGAAUUGGAUAAAGGAGGCUUUCAUUUCACUGGUCAACUCAAAAAUUUCAAUUCUUAGACCAAGUACCACCACUAGCAGCCUAAGUACUUGGCAACAAGAUAAGGAAUCUUAGCGACUAAAGCGUUGAAUUGCAAAUGAUUAGAAGCCUGUAUAUAACUUAGCAUAUAUAUAUAUAUAUAUAUAUGUUCAUAUAUUUGGAGAUUUGUUUCAGAAAACACACUGUUUGUCUAAAUGCAUCCUAAUAGGAAAUCAUGUUGCAGCUUAUAGAAAUGGUGAGUACUGCUGGAUCUUGAUGGUACCUUGCGUUGUUUAAAUUGAUGGAGCUAUAACUAUAGCAGAGAAUAUAGCAUUUUGGUCUCUCAAAAACAAUUCAUCAGGUGAAAUAAACAAGAAAGAUAUGACAACGUAAUUUCUGUCAUUUUCUCAUGUAGUGUAACCUAUAUUCUCUCUCUCUCAAAAAAAAAAAAAAAAAAAAGUUACACAGAAAGGAGAAAAGGAUAUACAUGGGAUUGCAUUCAUUCUUUACAAAAUUGUCAACAGUGAAAUGAGAAGUAAGAUUGAGGAAAAUAUCUUCUCUGCAAGGGAUUCUGGGACAGCCCAUUGGAUGAUCAGAUCCAAAUUCUUCUGCCUUAUGGAGAAGCACUUGGAAUGUAGGUAGGUUCCAGUAACCUUCUGAAUAUCUGCAGCUGCUGAAACUGCUCUUGCAGUCAUAAUAGAUUUGUGGAGAAUUUAAUUUCUUAGCAUGAACAAGACCAGCUGGAAGGUGGACGACCCAUAAUUUUUUAUAGGUAAAUCUCUUCAACAGAAGAAUGAACAAGCUUGGGCAAGCUUCGGCUUGCAAAACAGAGAAAGCUUUGGAAGUAGAGAAUUUGAACACCUAUGUUGAUUGUAAUACUAGCAUACGAGUAUAUAUAGAAGGAAUGGUAUAUUUGAAUAAAUUGUGGAAGGAGUGGUAUGAAGAUAUUUGGAUAGUAGAUGCAUAUGAAUAUUUGUACAAAAAAAUGACCCACUUGAAAUCAAGAAGAUAGGAGAAACUCUUUUUGAUUUAAGAACAGUACAAAGCUCAAUAUGUACAUGCACUAGUAGCAUGCUUGAGACAUCUGAUUCUUUUCAGUCUUCUUAGCAAGGAACCAUAUAUUAGACAUGCAAGCCUAUCUAAAUAACAACUUGGUUUGAAUUGAGUCUCCCCCAGCUUGAACUCACCUGUCAAUCCUACCAAGUGAUUUGAACAUGAUUCUCUCCUGACAGAACAGAUACUGGCUCAGUUGAUGCAGAUGAAUUAUGAAUAUAUACACUCUAAAUUUUAAAUCACUGAUCGGCUCUGAUAUUAAUUAAUGUUCAGAUAAACAAUAAAGGAAUUCAAGGUAUAUUUAUAGCUGGAGGUAAAAGGAAAACAGCAGUUAACAUAUCUCCAACAGAAAUCACUGGCAAUGCGCUACUUUAGUACACCAACUAGCAAGGGACACCCUUUUGAAGAGCACAUGAAGUGUCUCCCACUACCCCCUAGGCAGUGGGAUCCAUUUUAACCACCAGAGUGCUAUUGUUACAGAUGAUGUUAUUCUAAGGAAAUGAAAUUCAAUAUUGCAAAGCAAUCCUUGAUUGAAAUUUGAGCUCUAGGUUGAGAACAGAGGAAACAGAUUAAAUCAAUGGGAAAGCAGAAAAGUAAGAGAUUCUAUUUGAUCCUUUUAUAUGAAGAGAAUUGGCUAUCAACUUUCUUUACAGAAAAAAUGUAUAAAAUAAUUUUACAAGUGGAAAUGAAACAGCCCAGUUCUCCUAAUCCAAAAAUGGAGACUGGUUUAUGAGUCAAUGGCGUUAGAGACUCUGCAUCCUAGAGCCUAGUCAUUUGCAUAUCUUUCUCCUCUCAUGGGCUGUUCAAAUAACAACUGAGAUUAAUAAAGGCUUCUUCUGUGCAUGGGAUUGUGAGACCACCCAUUGGAUGAUCAAACCCGAACUCUUCUUCAGCCUGACUCAACAGGGUCUGGAAUGCAGGAUUCUUCAAGUAUGAGAUUGGAACCACAAAUCUCUUCUUUUGGAUUUCUCCCACAUAAACAGAAAAAUAGCCUUUAGGCACAUUCUUGGACUCAGCACCCACAUGUGCCCGCUGCAGGAUCUGCUUAGCAUUAACAAUUCCAGGCAAAUGAAAACCCAUGACUUCUAUGGACUCAGAAAAGUAAAGGUAAGGAAACUGGUACUCUGAGAUCUCUUAGAAUAAGAAAAGUUUGACAGUGGGAUACCAUAUCCAUAGGAUGAGUAGAAUAUAUAUAGAGCAAGCAAAUUCUGUAUGGCCAAUAUUCUUUGGUGUUGAGAAGUCUCUAAUGUUAGGGUCCAUCUGUAGACAUUCAUGACAAGGGUUCACAUGGUUUUGCUUCCCAACUAAUAAUAUGAUUUUCAGUGGUCUUCCUUCUGAAAUUUAUUUGCUGGGAUCAUCAUGGCCUACUUCUUAACUAUCAAAACUAAUUUGAAAAGCCCACUUGAAAUUACUUGUUUAGUUAUCUGGCAAUUAAUCUGACUCUUGAUCUAUAUCAGCCAACAGGUGGGGACAAUGUUCAUUGAUGCACUAAGAAUAGCUCACCCAUAGUGUAUGUUUGAAAUUUGUUGGGGUUCUAAAAAACACAAAUUAUCAGCUCAUGUGAUGAUGUUUCUUGAAAUGAAUUAUCCAUAUAGGCAAUCAUAUUAUUUAAAGUACUUGUCAAGGUGUUAAACAACAAAGUGAAACAAAGGAAAAUGUAAUGGCAACUGGCAAGGAAUGGAUUUGAUAAUAAAACAAUGCCCGUCUCCUGUCCCCAUUUGUCCUACCAUUGGAAAUGCCUCACUCGGUUUUCAGACUCGAACAUAAUCCUUCUCAAUAGAUUCAAGUUCUAAAAUUCUGUUCAGAUGCUUUAUCAAAGAUAUAAUCAACAUUAGCACUUCUACAAACAUGCUGAUUGGUUUCUGAUGAGUUUGAAGAAUCCAAACUGUAAUAGACAUGACAAAAUGGGCACCACUUGCCUUUUAGAUGAUGUUGAAUUAUGAAGGUUCAAAGAAGGCCAUUCAUUUGAGAUUACAUUUACAUUUUGACUACUAUUUCUCUAAGCCAUCAGUUACAACAACAGGAAUAGGAUAUUCAAACUUCAAUUUAUUUAUUUAUUUUUAUUAAUAACCAUAAUCAUAAGUUGUUCUUUCCUAAGAUGUUACCGAAUAUGCCCUUAGUUGAAGAUUUAGUUUUACCAGAAUGAUAGAAACCGAAAUGUUUAAACAAAGAUUAAUAGAUUUUGAAGGGCAAAUGAAGUAACUCUCUAAAUAGAUUUGGUCUUGUGGCAAUAACUUUUACUAAAUGGCUGUCAGGGAAAGACAAAUAACAUAAGAAAAAGGUAAAGCUAUUAAAUUAAGAUGAACAAAUUUGGUUGCAAACUUGUUUUCCAGAAAAAUAGAAUAAAUAUACAUUGUUCUCUUAAGGAAAAAGAAAAAAGGAAAAAAAAAAAAAAAAAAACCAACUCAUAAUUCAAAAAUUGUUGGGUUGGUUUCUGUGGUCAAUGGUGUUAUAGAUUUGGUAUCCUCCAGGCUGAUCAUUAUGUGACUCUCCUCCUUGCUCAUGAGCAAUUCAAGCUGCAAGUUAGAUUGAGGAAGGCUUCUUCUCUGCAUGGGAUUGUGAGAUCCCCCAGUGGAUGAUCAAACCCGAACUCUUCCUCAGCCUGACUUAGCAAGUUUUGGAAUGAAGGAUGCUUCAGGUAUGAAAUUGGAAUCACAAAUCUCUUCUUCUGAGUUUCUCCAACACAGACAGGAACAUGGCCUUUAGGCACAUUUGUGGGCUCUGGAGAUGGAAAAAUGUGUCUUAGGAUCUGUUUGGCAGGAAUAAUCCUCUGAAAAUGGAUGGCCAUAAGUUUCAAACUUAGUUCUUCAAACUAAAGUGGUUGUGAGAGAAGGUUUUCUAGGUGUUUGGGAAGUAAGAAAAGCCUUGAUACCUGGUGGAUAUGCCCAUAGAAUAGAUGUAUUUAUAGAACAAAUGCAAUAAGGCCAGUUUUCUCAAAUGGAAUGAAUGAUGAAAAGACAAUUGCAAUGGGGGUCCGGGUCCCUUAAA